rnacentral:rRNA from 1 species
GAUGAACGCUGGCGGCGUGCUUAACACAUGCAAGUCGAACGAUGAAGCUGGAGCUUGCUCUGGUGGAUUAGUGGCGAACGGGUGAGUAACACGUGAGCAACCUGCCCCUGACUCCGGGAUAACAGCCGGAAACGGCUGCUAAUACCGGAUAUGCACCAUGAACGCAUGUUCUGUGGUGGGAAAGAUUCUUCGGUUGGGGAUGGGCUCGCGGCCUAUCAGCUUGUUGGUGGGGUAAUGGCUCACCAAGGCGUCGACGGGUAGCCGGCCUGAGAGGGUGACCGGCCACACUGGGACUGAGACACGGCCCAGACUCCUACGGGAGGCAGCAGUGGGGAAUAUUGCACAAUGGGCGAAAGCCUGAUGCAGCAACGCCGCGUGAGGGAUGACGGCCUUCGGGUUGUAAACCUCUUUUAGCAGGGAAGAAGCGAGAGUGACGGUACCUGCAGAAAAAGCGCCGGCUAACUACGUG